UUAAAAGCAGUAAAUAGCUUUAUUAGUGUUUCUAUGGUAAAAAUGUGUCACAAUCCAAAGCCUUUAACUAAUUAUAAGAGUUAGAGAUCGAUUAGGAGUGUUUAGACAAUACUUAUACCCAUUUUCUCCCAAAAGAGGCUAAAACCAACAAAACAUUGCUUAGAAGCAGUAAAUAGCUUUGUUAGUGUUUUUAUGGUCAAAAUGUGUAAGAAUCCAAUGCAUUUGACUAAUUAUAAGAGUUAGAGAUGGAAUAGGAGUGGUUAGACAAUACUUAUACCCAUUUUCUCCCAAAAGAGGCUAAAACCAACAAAACAUUGCUUAGAAGCAGUAAAUAGCUUUGUUAGUGUUUCUAUGGUAAAAAUGUGUCACAAUCCAAAGCCUUUGACUAAGUAUAAGAGUUAGAGAUGGAUUAGGAAUGUUUAGAAAACACUUAUACCCAUUUUCUCCCAAAAGAGGCUAAAACCAACAAAAUUUGCUUAGAAGCAGUAAAUAGCUUUGUUUGUGUUUCUAUGGUCAAAAUGUGUUACAAUCCAAUGCAUUUGACUACUGAUAAGAGUUUGGGAUGGAUUAGGAGUGUUUAGACAACACUUAUACCCAUUUUUUCCCAAAAGAGGCUAAUACCAACAAAAAAAUUGCUUAGAAACAGUUAACAGUUUUGAUAGUGUUUUUAUGGCAAA
rnacentral:sRNA from 1 species